GUAGGGAAUAUUGGGCAAUGGAUGCAAGUCUGACCCAGCCAUCCCGCGUGCCGGAAGAAGGCCCUCAGGGUUGUAAACGGCUUUUGACGGUGAAGAAUCGACAGGAUGCGUCCUGUUUUGACGGUAGCCGUUGAAUAAGCACCGGCUAACUCCGUGCCAGCAGCCGCGGUAAUACGGAGGGUGCGAGCGUUGUCCGGAUUUAUUGGGUUUAAAGGGUGCGUAGGCUGGAAGUUCAGUCAGCGGUGAAAAGCUGUCGCUUAACGAUAGUCUUGCCGCAGAUACUUCCUUUCUUGGAUGAGGAGGAGGCCACUGGAACGGAUGGUGUAGCGGUGAAAUGCAUAGAUAUCAUCCAGAACACCGAUUGCGAAGGCAGGUGGCUGUACCUUAAUCGACGCUGAUGCACGAAAGCAUGGGGAGCAAACAGGAUUAGAUACCCCUGUAGUCC
rnacentral:rRNA from 1 species